rnacentral:rRNA from 1 species
AUGAUAAGCUUCUUGAAGCUAGCGGAUGAGCUGAAGUUGAUGUGUAAUUCUGUCGCUAGUGGUGAGCUGAUGGAUAAUUCUAUCACACCAUCCCAACUGCAACCAUCGGCACCGGAGGUGGAGAAGGAGGAUGGCAAGAUAAGCUUCUCCAGGAUGGAGGAUGAACUAAAGUUGAUGGAUGAUUAUGUUGCACCACUCCAACUGCAACCAUCAUCGCUGGAGGUGGAGCAGGAGGAUGGCAAAGUGAGCCAACAGAAGAAGAGGAGGACAUCAACCGUGAGUGUGGCGACCGGGGUGAUGAGCACCCUUAGUGGCAAGCUUACCACUUUCAUCAACGAUGAGUACAAUAAGCGCAAAGAGGUAAGGAAGCAGGCGUCGUUCCUUGAGAAGGAGUUGAGCGCCAUACACGCUGCUCUUGAGCUGCCGGAGCUCAUGAAUGAGCUUGCUCCAGGGGUAAAAAAUUGGAGGGAUGAUCUCAGGGAGAUUUCCUACGACAUGGAAAAUUGCAUUGAUGACUUCAUUCGCCAAUUCGGGGGUGAGGAUGUUGAGGUAUGCUUUUUCUUGGAGGCUGCUGAACUUCACAAGAGGUUGUGCGAGCUACAUCGAAUUUCCAACCAGAUGGAAGAGCUUAGGACUCUUGCGGUAGAAGCAAAUGCUCGACGUGAGAGUUACAAGAUUGAUGAUUGCAAGCCUAGCUUUGGCCCUGUGGCUGUCGAUGCUCGCCUGCGAGCGGUCUACCAGGAGGCGGCCAACCUUGUGGGCAUUGAAGGCUCUAGAGAAGAGGUUAUCAGUUGGUUGAUGAAUACUCAAAAAAAACUAAUGGUUGUGUCCGUUGUUGGUUUUGGAGGCCUGGGUAAAACUACACUUGCCAAACAGGUGUUUGACAAGAUCAAAGGGCAUUUUGAUUGUGUGGCAUUCUUUUCAGUUUCACAGAGGCCUGAUUUGAGAGUGCUUCUCAAUCGCCUACAAUUGAAACUUGGGAUAAAUGCCUCUUCUCACGAUUGCGGGUUUGACGACAUCAUUGAAGAGCUAAGGAAGUAUCUCACAGAUAAAAGGUACCUUAUUGUAGUUGAUGACUUGUGGGAUCAAUCAGCAUGGAAUACUAUUAGUUGUGCUUUUCCAGAAAAUGGAAAUGGGAGUAGAAUAAUUGUAACCACACGAGUGGAAGAUGUGGCUGGCAUGGCCUGUCACAAUGACCGCGGGCGCAUUUACACAAUGAAGCCCCUCAGUGAUCAGAACUCAAGAAUGUUAUUCUCCAAUAGAGUAUUUGGGUCUGAAGUUGUUUGUCCACCCCAUCUUAAAGAUGUUGCGGCUGAAAUUCUGAAGAAGUGUGGUGGUAUGCCGCUUGCAAUUGUCACUAUAGCUAGCCUACUAGCUACUCAAGUGAGAUCAAAGAAACACUGGGAGAGCAUAAGGAAAUCUCUGGGUGCCCAUUCUGCCACAAAUCCUUCAUUGAAAGAGAUGAAUAGUAUAUUAAACCUUAGCUACACCCAUCUGCCUCUUCAUCUCCGGCCAUGUUUUCUGUACCUUGGUAUGUAUUCUGAGGACCACAUCAUACCACGGGAUGAUCUGGUUAAACAAUGGAUAGGUGAAGGCUUUGUCAGCAGUUUGCAUGGGCCAGAUUUGGAGCAUGUUGGCAGGAGUUAUUUCAAUGAGCUUAUCAAUAGAAACAUGAUUCAGCUGGCAGAAAAUGAUGAAAAUGAGUAUGGAGAGGUGUUGUGUUGCAGAGUACACGACAUGAUGCUUGAUUUGAUCUUAAGCAAGUGUGUAGAAGAUAAUUUUGUAAGUGUGGCACACAAUUCUGAGGACAUGGCAAGACUGCUGCAUCUCUGCAAAUACAAGGUUCGCCGAUUAUCCCUGUGCUCCAUGGCUGUUGGUGGAGCAACAUAUGACACUGCUAUUGCUACUAGGCUGUCACAAGUUCGAUCAUUACUGUUCGAGGACGCUAUAAUCCCUCUUUUGUGGUUCAAGUACCUUAGGGUGCUAAUCAUUUCUAAUGAGCGGGAGAUAGUUGACCUCACCGCUGCUAGCCAAUUGUUUCUGCUGAGGUAUCUGAUGGUUAGAGCUAGGAAGAUAGAGCUCCCUACUAAACUUGGUGAGCUUGUUUACUUGGAGACACUAGACAUAGAAAAUUGCACACUGAUGGAGAGCAUCCCCUCAGAUAUAGUUAAUUUGCCCCGCCUGUCCUAUCUGCUUCUUCCAUAUGGGACAAAGUUGCCUGAAGGUAUGAUGAAUAUGAAAUCAUUGCGGACUCUGCGAUGGCUUGACAUGGAGAAGAGCUCGCUGGAGUGUUUUAUGGGUCUCAGCGAGCUGACCAAUCUGAGGGAACUGCGUAUGUCAGUAGGUCGUAGUUUGGGGUUGCCAAAAGUUGAUGCUUUGGCUUGCUCCAUUGGAAAGCUCUGUAACCUUGAAUCUCUGGUCAUCUUUGGCGGCGAUCAUGUUGAGCGUGAGGACAGCCAGCAGCUGGGCUCAUUAUCCAAUCCUUUUCAACAUAUUGAGCGUCUUGAAUUGCAUUACUGGCGGUUAUGGAGAGUUCCAAAAUGGUUGUUUGGUCUCAAUUGCCUGCGCUUCCUUAAGCUGUUUGUUGAAGAGACAUCAACUCAGGAUGUUCAUCUGCUUGGAGAGCUUCCCUCCCUCGUCCACCUCGAAUUUGGAGCAUUUGAAAUCCCUGGUUACAGAGCUAUGUUUGGGACGGGGCUAUUCCUAGUUCUGGAGUUCCUAUAUUUCUGGUCUAAGAAAGACACUACGCCGUACCUGGGCUUCGAGGCAGGUGCUAUGCCCAGUUUACAAACACUCUGGUUCAGUGCGUGCGAUUGGGGCGGCACUAUACCAGUCGGCAUGGAGCACUUGUUACACCUCCAGGAGAUCCAAGUGCAUACGCUCUACAUUAGUAAGGAUUCAGUGGACAGGUUGCAAGAGGCCGAGGACGCAUUCAAGGAGGCCUUGCUGAUGCACCCGAACCGGCCUUCCGUCAUAUUUAGUUAA